rnacentral:sRNA from 1 species
CUACAGUAGGCUUUCUUCUGUAUCUGGCUUUGUUCAGACAGCAGGAUGUUUAUAGUAUUCAUCGCUGAUGUUCUGAGUAUCAAUAUCAAUAGCUUGUUCCUUCUUGCAGAUUAAUAUUCCAUUGUGUACAUAUGGAACAACUUGCUCAUCCUUCCCCUGCCCCAAGUGCGCACUGGGUUCACUCUGCUUAACUGUUUGAAAAACUGUCAGACUGUUUUCUGAAGUGGCGGCAGCAGCUUCCACCCCACCCGCAGUCUCAGGUUUCGUUUCUUCACAUCCUCACCCAGACUGGUUCUCACCUGUUUUUACUGAUACCAUCCCAGUGGGAGUGAAGUGGUGUCUUCUGGUUUGGAUUUGUGGCUCCCUCACGGCUGAUGGUGCUGAGCACUCUGUCGUGUGCCCGGUGCCCACUGACGCCUCCCCUGGAACAGUGCCCGUGCAGGUGUCUGCCCACUAUUCCGCUCACUUUCAGGGCCGGUAGCGGCAUGGUUGGGUGCAAGCCAACGGUUGUCCUUCUUCCCGUCAUCUGUUAUUUGUUCUGUUCUUCCUUUCUUGCCCUCUUUUGUAUUGAAUAUUUUUAUGUUCAAUUUAAUCUUCUUUACUGUUUUUAAGCAUUAUAUUUUUGUUUUAUUUUUCAGUGGUUGCUCUAAGAAUUGCAAUAUGCAACCUUAACCGAUCACCCUCCUCCUUAACUAACUAUGAUACUGCUGCAUGGAUAGGGUAAGAAGCUUACAACAGUAUCAAUUGUGGUAAUCCCAAUAAUAUAUUCUUUAAAAUUUUUGCUUAAGCAGUCAAUGAUCUUUCAAGAAAGUUAAGAAAAAUUAAGAAAUUGCCCAUAUAUUUACCUUUUCUGGUGAGCUUCAUUUCUUCUUAAAGACCCAGGUCUCUAUCUUGCAUUUUUUCCCAGUAGACCUCACCCGUGCACGCCUCAGGCGCCAUGUGGCACAUGGUGAUCCCCCCAUCACCACGCUGGAAAGAGUAGUGAGGCCGGCUCUGGUGCUGGCAUCUUACGUUGCCGAUGGCACUGCCUGGCCCCAUCCUAGCUCCUUCCUUCCGCAGGCACAGGUAACAGCAUCGUGGUCAUGACAACAAAUGGAUUCCUCCGUCAAGAACUGAAGAUUGAGGAGAACUUCAGAGACACCAGUACCUCCUUCCUGGCCUUCCAGCUCCUUCCUGAGGUAUCCCAGCAGGGGCUGUGGGCCCAGCACGCGCGUGGCCCGGGGCCCAUAGCCCACACCAUGCCCUGUGUUUCAGGAGGAGCAGCUGUGGGCGGCCUGUGCAGGACGCAGCGAGGUUUACAUCUGGAGCCUGAAGGACCUGGCCCAGCCCCCGCAGAGGGUGCCCCUCGAGGACUGCUCUGAGAUCCACUGCAUGAUCCGGGUGAAGAAGCAGGUAGGGUGGAGGGCCUGCCAUCCCCAGCAUCCCUGCCAGGUCUCGCUUGCCCUGGCCGUGUCCCCAUGCUCCCGAGAGCCAGCUGCACUCUCCUGCCUUCGCCUCUCAGGGCUCCCCUCCUAACAGGCACGUGCAGGGUUGGUGCCAACGGGCCCACAGGUCACCAUGUGCUGGUUUCAUGGUGUGGUCCAAGCACUCCACAGCGCAUUCCCCCAAACUGGAUGGCUU